AUGCUCACCUUGCUAGAUUCGGUAGUCACCCAAAUAUCCUUGUACCAUAUUUCUAUGUGGCUUAUGAACAAAACCUUCAUUGGGCGCCUCGACAAACAUAGACGAAAGUUCUUUUGGCAAGGGUGCAACAAGAAGAGGAGGUAUCAUCUUGUUAGAUGGAACAGGAUCUGCAGAUCCAGAGAUAAAGGUGGUUUGGGGGUUAAGUACCUCCACAAACAGAAUGUUAGUUUGAUGGUCAAAUGGUGGUGGAAACUAGAGACCCAAACGGGGAUGUGGCAAGAUAUUGUUCAUGCACGCUACCUGACAAACAAAUCUUUGGCCUCGGUUAAGCCCAGGUUUUCCGAUUCCCCAUGUUGGAGAGCCUUACUAAAAGUAAAAGAUAUUUACUUAGUUGGCAGGAAGAUCCAUCUAGAAUCUGGUGACCUCGUCAAAAUCUGGAAAGAUUCCAUAAAGGGGCCGAGUCCUUUUUAG
rnacentral:rRNA from 1 species